UCAAAACGACUCUCGGCAACGGAUAUCUCGGCUCUCGCAUCGAUGAAGAACGUAGCGAAAUGCGAUACUUGGUGUGAAUUGCAGAAUCCCGUGAACCAUCGAGUCUUUGAACGCAAGUUGCGCCCGACGCCUCCCGGCUGAGGGCACGCCUGCCUGGGCGUCA
rnacentral:rRNA from 1 species